GAAGGCAGGUUACUAAGCAACAACUGACGNUGAUGGACGAAAGCGUGGGGAGCGAACAGGAUUAGAUANNNGGUAGNCCACGNNNUAAACGAUGCUAACUNGUUUUUGGAAUGUAAGUUUCAGAGACUAAGCGAAAGUGAUAAGUUAGCCACCUGGGGAGUACGAACGCAAGUUUGAAACUCAAAGGAAUUGACGGGGGCCCGCACAAGCGGUGGAUUAUGUGGUUUAAUUCGAUGAUACGCGAGGAACCUUACCAAGGCUUAAAUGGGAAAUGACAGGUUUAGAAAUAGACUUUUCUUCGGACAUUUUUCAAGGUGCUGCAUGGUUGUCGUCAGCUCGUGCCGUGAGGUGUUAGGUUAAGUCCUGCAACGAGCGCAACCCCUGUCACUAGUUGCCAUCAUUAAGUUGGGGACUCUAGUGAGACUGCCUACGCAAGUAGAGAGGAAGGUGGGGACGACGUCAAAUCAUCACGGCCCUUACGCCUUGGGCCACACACGUAAUACAAUGGCCGGUACAGAGGGCAGCUACACUGCGAAGUGAUGCAAAUCUCGAAAGCCGGUCUCAGUUCGGAUUGGAGUCUGCAACUCGACUCUAUGAAGCUGGAAUCGCUAGUAAUCGCGCAUCAGCCAUGGCGCGGUGAAUACGUUCCCGGGCCUUGUACACACCGCCCGUCAAGCCAUGGAAGUCUGGGGUACCUGAAGUCGGUGACCGUAACAGGAGCUGCCUAGGGUAAAACAGGUAACUAGGGCU
rnacentral:rRNA from 1 species